CCCGGCCCCUGCGGCCGCCCGCGGCCAUGUGUGCGAGGGCGGAGCGGCGCCGCCGGCCAAAGGCAGCCGCAGUCAGCGGCAGCCCGGCGGCCCGUGGGGAUGCUGCGGUACAGCUCGGGGCUCACGGUCACCGCCACCACCCCCCGGAGGCCGUGCGGCGACGGCGGCCGCGCCCGGCGGAAGAUGAAUGUCUGUAGGUUACGCUUAACAGUACCACCUGAUGAAGGCUCACAGCCUGAACAGGGAGCAAAGGAACCUGAAAGAAAGAAAAAUGAGCUCUACCAUGUACCAAAUGGCAUGUCUCCAGGGAAGCUCUCUCAUGGGAUGGUGUAUGGCGUUGUGCACCGAACUGACAACAACCAUAAGAGAGAAAUGGUGGUUUAUGGCUGGUCAGCUGAUCAACUGAAAGAGGAGAUGAAUUACAUUAAAGAAGUGAGAGCAACUCUGGAAAAAGUAAGAAAGAAAAUGUAUGGUGAAUAUGAUGAAAUGAAACGAAAAAUACAGCAGCUUACGAAUGAACUGAAAGUGACAAAUGCUCAUCAGGAAUCCUUAGAGAAUCAUGUGCGAGUGCAGGCUGCAGCCUUAGAUAGCUUUAGUGAAAUGAACAGCUCCUUGACAUCAGCAUCAAUAGACUUGCAGAAAACUCUAGUGGAUGUUACAUUGGAGAACACUGAUAUAAGGGAACAAAUAAGGAAUUUAAAACAUACACAUGAACAAUCUAUGGAAAAGCUGAGAGAGAAGCAAAAGCAACUGGAAACAGCACAAAUUGAAAAUCAGUUACUGAAAUUAAAGGUGGAAUCAUCACAGGAGGCCAAUGCUGAAGUCAUGAGAGAGAUGACAAGGAAACUGUAUAGUCAGUAUGAGGAAAAAAUGCGAGAAGAGGAGCAGAAACAUAAAGCUGAGAAAGAAAUCCUCCUAGAGGAAACAAAUCGGCUUCUGAAGGCUAUUGAAGAGGCAAAUAAGAAGAUGCAGAUUACAGAAACAAGCAUACAGGAAAAAGACCAGAGAAUUGGUGAGCUGGACCGGCUGAUUGAACGCAUGGAAGAGGAACGUCACCAGCUGCAAAAACAACUUGAAUUCAAUGAAAUACAAAUAUCUGGAGCAAAAUCUGAAAACAGCUCUGACAGUGAAAGGUCACAGCAUUUGGAGGAGGUAGCAGCUAGCCUAAGAGAGCGAAUCAAACAUCUGGAUGAUAUGGUCCACUGCCAACAGAAGAAAGUCAAGCACAUGGUUGAGGAGAUUGAAAUGCUAAGGAAGAAGGUAAAAGAAAAGGAAUUAUUUAUAAUACAGCUUUUAGAAAAAAUCUCUUUCUUAGAAUGUGAGAAUAAAGAAUUACAAGAUAAAUUGGACUACUUAAUGGAAAACCAACCAAAGACCAAUAUAGAAACCAGAGAUACUGGUGUAGGGUGUGAUCUUCCAUACAGGUAUUUACUUUUUCUGCUUGUUCAUAGGAAACGUCUUCAUAAUGUCCCUUAUUGGUGCUGUAUUAGUAAACUGUUGUGCUAAUAAACUGUUAGAGUGGAUUGUGGAGUUUUGCAAAAUUUUCCCAAGUUUAAAAGAGCCUAUCUACUGUGCACUUCAAUGACUUAUGGAGUAGGAUUUUUCUAAAAAAAAAAGAUUGAAACAUAUUGCAAACCCUUGAGGAGUACUUAUUUACAGUAAUGUGAUUUAAGCAGGGAGUAAAGCUAGAAUUCAAGAGAUCUGACUUUGUGAAAUAUGGGAAAUCUUGAUGAAAUUUGUCUGCUGGGAGUGAAGCAGAAGACAAUAGACAGCUCUACCCUGAGGCAGGUUAAUGCUGGCUUCAUGCAUGCUUUAUUCUUUGUGUUCCGGGAGAUGCGUCCAGGACCAUUUUAAAGGGCAGACAACACCAACUGUAACAGUUUAGGGCCGCAGCAAUUUCUGGAGAUAUCCUAGCCCUAGGUAGAAGAUUGCCAAGUAAACAGCAUGGUAACAUUACCACUUCUGCACUGGAAUGGCUGUCUCUUAUCUGUGGUGGCCAGUGGAUCUGUAGCCUGGCUUUGUAAAGAUCCAGGUAUCAUGCCUUCCCUUUUCCUCCUCCCCUUUCUCUGCCCUGAACACUGCACCAGGGUUGCACUGAGCCCUGGGAGCAAGGCUGUGGACUUGCACUUGAAUCUUCCCCAAACAAGUCACCACAGGGAAGGGCAAAACAGAAACCAAAAUAGUAAGUACAAGUACUGAGAACAGAAGAUCUCCUGAAAGUGCAAGGCUGGUGAGGACAUACACCCCAUUCAAGAGAGUGUUGGAAUUUAGCACAAAGAACAGUACAUCUUGAGCAUUCAAGUCAACAUGCUUUCUAAAUACGAGUAAAUAUAUUGCGCCUUUGCAGCUUGAUUAGAUAAUUUUUUAUCAAGUCGUAGAGAAGAACAGCAGCAUGGAGUCUUGUUAAAUUUAUCCUGAAAACAGCUUUUUAGUAACUUCGUAUCUGAAGUUACUACUGACAGUAACUGUGAGGAGGAUAUAGAAGAGGUGGGAUGAGUGAAACAGCAGUCAAUAUUGCUUCUUUAGAAGCUGUCUAGUGCAAUGUGUCAUUUCACAUGCCUGUAAGGAAGGAGUUGUAUAGCUGUAAAGUUUUUUUUUUUUUCUUCAAUUGUGUUGUAAUUCUGUUUGUGUAAUGAAGCUAUAAUAUAUUUUAUUGUCAAUACUACUAGAAGCAGCAUCUGAAACUAUGCUGGCAGAGGGCAUUAGUCUGUCAUAGAGACCUGGUAUUGCUGGGUCUUUGUUCACCUGGAAAUUGUAACCAGCACUCUUUGCUGGGAGGGAGAGAUGCAACUGGGCUGUUUCAAACAAUUUCCUUAACGCACGUAGAUGGAUGUCAUGUUUGAUGCUCAAAAGAGUUAGCGAUAGAGCAGAUUAUAAUGGAUUUUGCUUUGCUGGACUGAGACACUGGUUUGCACUUCCUCAGUCAUGGGAUAGAGUGACUAUUGGUGAUACAUUCAAAAUAAUUGUGUAGGAAAAUGCCUUUCACUUUUUUUUAUUUACUCUUCCAUUAGAGGAAGGAAUUUUCAUUAAACAGAAUUUUGCCUACAGCAACCUGCAGCAGUUCCUGCAAUUCCUACAGCAAUAGCAAUCCUGAAUCAGGAUUUUGAGGUGGUUUUUUUUGUUGUUUAGGGGGCUUUUGGGGGUUGGUUUGGUGGUGGUGGUUUCGGGUUUUUUGCCAAAGCACUUAAAAUCUUAUCCUUGACUUCAAAGUACCAGCAGGAAUGACUGCAUCUAGUACUGAACUCAUUUAAAUAUAUAUAGGGUAUUUUUUUUACAUCUUGUUUUAUCUCCCACUCUUAGUGAACACAAAUGAAUUAUGAGUACUUUCUUGUAGUUCUAUUAACAUGAAUGAAGGGCAUUUUUUAUUAUAGUAACUGCUACAAACAACUUAUGUUUUGUAUGAUUAAUAUUGUUCUUCCAUUGAAUGUCUGUCCCAGGAGGUACUCACCUUGCCACAGGGCUUCACAGAGUGUUUGCUUUUAUCACCAGUCUAAUGCAAAUUCUUAAAUUCAGUACUGUCUGUUCAAAUUAAGUAUACUCAGUAGAGUUGUAUUUAAAAUAAUAAUAUUGAUCUCAUAAUCCAGAUCUUAUUCCUGCAUUAUUUCAUGGGUUUCUGAAUUUGUUAGAGCUUUGUUUAUUCUGUAGCUGUGCUGUUUAACUAGUAAAUAAAGAAGCUUGUUUUGAUGUGGUACAGGUAUCUUGCAGGAACAUUAAUUGCUUAAUAUAAUCAAAGCAUAUACAAAACAAAAGGGGAAGCUCAAACUUCUCCAGCUUUUGUGCUCAGAUCAUCCUCUGUUUGCAUGUAAGUUAUUUUUUUUCAACUCCUGAGAACUUAAAAUAGUCAUUCUUUCUAAAAGAUCAAGCACAGUAUUAUGGAUUAUAUUAUGCACAAAAUUCAGUAAUUGCAAUCAAAGCCAUUAACAAAAAGGUAAAUUAUCUACUGUGUGAAGGAAUCUCUCUAAUCUUCACUAGUAUAGAAGUUGCAAACAGCUGCUCAAUUUUUCUUUUAAAAAGAGUAAUUUAAAAAUGCAUCGUUUGUUUUAAUAGCCCUAAAAGGAAACUCUAUUUACUUUGCAUGUGAUAAAGGAAUGCAAAAGAUCUCAUAGCUAUCAAAAGGGCAAAGAAAACCCUCCAGCUGUCACAUUAGUAAACAGGCAUAAUACCAUACGUUUACUUAAAUAGCUUCUCCCAGAGAAGAGGUGCAAAACCUCUAGAAUGGGAAAGGACCCGAAGAGAAGGUCCCUGAGAAUAAAGUCUGUUCCAUAUAAAAACAGUCCUCAGACAAAGCACCCUCUUGUUAUGCAAAGCAGAGGAAUUGUCUUGUAUCUGAACACCAAAGACAUGGAACCAGCUGACACGUAAAGAAGCUGUAGUCUCAGCCCUGCAUAGGAUAUUUUUGAUUGAAUGAAGUCUUGUGGCUUGAGUGAAUUUGGGUGGCUGAGUUUGCUGAACAGAGUUCCCAAAUAACAGUUGAUUUGAUCGAUAACUAAAUUAAUUAUGGCUAUGAACAACUAAGAUCAAGAAGUCAAGCUCUAAAUGAGAAAACAUUUAAAUUGGAAGUGUAUGUUGAUGAAUCCAAAACGUGAUGGGUAAUGACCCAACUCAAAUGUCAGGGAUAAGUUUUGUACUUGUGUAAUCAUAUCUCCCUCUAGUGGCUGAUAACCCCAAAUAUUCAGACAGUAUCUGUUUUUGAAAAGACACUGAAAACUAAUCCCAACUGGCCAUAUUAAUGUUCAUUAUGGAUGCAGCUUUAGUUCAUUACAUAAUGCCUUUUGGCUUUUUUUGUGCCCAAAUAGUCCCCCUAUAUUUCAGGAAUUUAAUUCUGAACCAUGGUUUGUGAAGUUAUCUUCAAACUUAAGAUGAAUGGAUGAGGGUGGUAUUUAUAGAUAAAAGAAAAUGCAUGUUGUUGUAAAAGACAUUAACUAACAAGUUUAAGUAAAAGUACUUUAUCCCUGUGUUUUUGGCCAGAAUUCAAAAAACAGAACCUGAUGACUGUGAGGUCCUCAGUGAAUGGUAGGAGAGGGCAGAACGAAGUAUCAAAAUGCUCUUUUGACACAAACUUCAAAGGGAAGUUCAUUCUACUUUUAAUGUACUCCUGGGGAUCUCCUAUGAAAAUACUGCAAGCUAUUUUAACUCUGAGACUUGCAAAAUGAUGAUCAUCUGCUCAAGACUACAAAGACUGCAACAAGGCAUUGAAUUCUUCCUGUAAAAGUUUUCUCUGUAAAUUCUGUCUUGACUAUAUGAUGAAAUGAUUUUGUUUUUCUAAACCAAAUAACGAUGGAAGACUAUGCUAUAUUUUAAGAGCAUUUUGAGUUGCAAUGAGCUGGAUGACCAUCAUUUGAUUGGACUACUGGUCUAAAUUUGGUAACUGUGAAGAACAGGAGAGGAACAGUAUUUAUAUAACUGUGUUACAUGAAAAUGUAGAGCUUUCCAGUCAAAUCAGCAGCAACGUAAAUUAUCAUAGAUAAUAACAAAUCUGACUGAAGAGACUGUGACACUUCAGUAUAAAUUUUGUCAAUUUGAGAUUGGGUUAAUUAGUACUAUAACAUUAGAAACUAGUAAAAUUUCUGUAAACAUCAGUAAAAGCCAUAUAGAUAGGUCCCAGAAAGUGCAUUAAAUAUAAGUCAAUUGUAUGACUGCAUUUGUACCGUGAUAAGUAUUCUUUUGUGAUUUAUUCCAGACACUCUGGAAAGUAUUUUGGGAUACAGUUUUCAUGUAUGCUACAUAAAUAAUGCAGUUCAAUUGUAUGCUUUUAAUACAUCUUGUAUGUAGGACUUGAAAAGGAUAAAUUGCAAUAAAUAUGGUAUUUAAACUUUUUAUUCUGUUGUGCCAACAUUCAUUUAGAAAUAAACUUACCUUAAAACUUGCAAA